GACGAACGCUGGCGGCGUGCUUAACACAUGCAAGUCGAACGGAAAGGCCCUGCUUUUGUGGGUUGCUCGAGUGGCGAACGGGGGAGUAACACGUGAGUAACCUGCCCUUGUCUUUGGGAUAACUUCAGGAAACUGGGGCUAAUACCGGAUAGGAGCUCCUGCUGCGUGUGGUGGGUUGGAAAGUUUCGGCGGUUGGGGCUGGACUCGCGGCUUAUCAGCUUGUUGGUGGGGUAGUUGCUUACCAAGGCUUUGACGGGUAGCCGGCCUGAGAGGGUGACCGGCCACAAGGGGACUGAGAGACGGACCAGUCUCCUACGGGAGGCAACAGUGGGGAAUAUUGCACAAUGGGCGGAAGCCUGAUGCAGCAACGCCGCGUGCGGGAUGCCGGCCUUCGGGUUGUAAACCGCUUUCGACUGUGACGAAGCGUGCGUGACGGUAAUGGGUAAAGAAGCACCGGCUAACUACGUG
rnacentral:rRNA from 1 species